AGUUUGGAAGCACUAUGUAACCUC
rnacentral:siRNA from 1 species